AAGCAUUUAGUCUAAAAAGACACUUGAUUUCGACUCAAUAAAUUUUGGUUUAAACCCAGAAAUUCUUA
rnacentral:tRNA from 1 species